GGUGCUGUCGGUUCUGAGUAGAGAAAAGGGUUAGGGUUAGCUAAAAUUAUCUCCAGCUACGAAAAGUCACUUCCUGUCGUAGCUGUACUCCUUCUAGCCACAACCGGUACUGGCAUGGAGCUUUACUUUUAUAGCUUUCACAGCUUAGCAUUUCUAGUCGACAGUAUGAAAGACUCAACUUGUCAUCCGUGUGCUUUACAGUACCGCCGGGAACGGCAUGGAUGGAGUCUUUCAUGAUUCAGGAGGUGAAGACCAAACUUGCAGCCAAAGAUGUGAAUAGCUAGGCAGUAGUCAAGCCCAAAGUUAGUCAGGCACUGGUGGAUCACAUCACUGGAAAAGUGUUCUUCACCACCUCUGUUGGAAGAAAGCAAGUGAGGGAGCUGAAAUCUGCAGAGGCUGUUUCUACUUCUAAAGUGACACACCCCUCUCUCUGCCCAUACAGCUAUGACAACGUAUCAGAUCCAGUUGGGGCUCAUGGGUGAUGGUAGUGACUGAACCAGAGCUGUGUUGUCAUGGAGGCGCCUGCAGAGGGAGCUGAAGAUGAGAAGUGACUGUACCGCGAGCGUGGCCCUACCAAGGAGGAAGAGAGUGGUGUUGAGGGGUCUCCUUGUGAGGGACCAAAUGGAACACAGAAGCUGGCACUAGAGGGAGAGAGCCCAGGGUUCGGCCUGAGCAAGGAUCUCGACCUGCUCCACUACAGCCCCGUCGAUGUGAAUGGGGGCAUGUUCGGCCCUCCUUUUCCUGUAGUC